UGCCGCCGCCGCGGUAAUACGUAGGGUGCAAGCGUUAAUCGGAAUUACUGGGCGUAAAGCGUGCGCAGGCAGUUUUAUAAGUCAGAUGUGAAAUCCCCGAGCUCAACUUGGGAACUGCGUUUGAAACUGUAAGACUAGAGUGUGUCAGAGGGGGGUAGAAUUCCCGGUGUAGCGGUGAAAUGCGUAGAUAUCGGGAAGAACACCAGUGGCGAAGGCGCUCUGCUGGGCCAUCACUGACGCUCAUGGACGAAAGCGUGGGGAGCGAAAGGGAUUAGAUA
rnacentral:rRNA from 1 species